rnacentral:rRNA from 1 species
AUUGAACGCUGGCGGCAUGCCUUACACAUGCAAGUCGAACGGCAGCACGGGAGCAAUCCUGGUGGCGAGUGGCGAACGGGUGAGUAAAGUAUCGGAACGUGCCCAGUCGUGGGGGAUAACGUAGCGAAAGUUACGCUAAUACCGCAUACGAUCUAUGGAUGAAAGCGGGGGAUCGCAAGACCUCGCGCGAUUGGAGCGGCCGAUAUCAGAUUAGGUAGUUGGUGGGGUAAAGGCUCACCAAGCCGACGAUCUGUAGCUAGUCUGAGAGGACGACCAGCCACACUGGGACUGAGACACGGCCCAGACUCCUACGGGAGGCAGCAGUGGGGAAUUUUGGACAAUGGGCGAAAGCCUGAUCCAGCCAUGCCGCGUGCAGGGUGAAGGCCUUCGGGUUGUAAACUGCUUUUGUACGGAACGAAAAGGUUUGGGCUAAUAAGCUGAGCUCAUGACGGUACCGUAAGAAUAAGCACCGGCUAACUACGUGCCAGCAGCCGCCGUAA